rnacentral:rRNA from 1 species
AGCAGCCGCGGUAAUUCCAGCUCCAAUAGCGUAUAUUAAAGUUGUUGCAGUUAAAAAGCUCGUAGUUGAAUUUCGGGAUCAAUAUGUUGGUCGUGCCUCGGUACGUACUAGCUUAUUGGUUUCUCCUUUCUGAAGAACCAUGAUGUCAUUUAUUUGGUGUCGUGGGGAAUCAGGACUGUUACUUUGAAAAAUUAGAGUGUUUAAAGCAGGCUCACGCUUGAAUACAUUAGCAUGGAAUAAUGAAAUAGGACGUUUGAUUCUAUUUUGUUGGUUUCUAGGACCGACGUAAUGAUUAAUAGGGAUAGUUGGGGGCAUUAGUAUUCAAUUGUCAGAGGUGAAAUUCUUGGAUUUAUUGAAGACUAACUACUGCGAAAGCAUUUGCCAAGGGUGUUUUCAUUAAUCAAGAACGAAAGUUAGGGGAUCGAAGACGAUCAGAUACCGUCGUAGUCUUAACCAUAAACUAUGCCGACUAGGGAUCGGAUGAUGUUAAUUUUUAAUGACUCAUUCGGCGCCUUACGGG